rnacentral:rRNA from 1 species
AUUGAACGCUGGCGGCAUGCCUUACACAUGCAAGUCGAACGGUAACAGGUCUUCGGAUGCUGACGAGUGGCGCACGGGUGAGUAAUACAUCGGAACGUGCCCGAUCGUGGGGGAUAACGAAGCGAAAGCUUUGCUAAUACCGCAUACGAUCUACGGAUGAAAGCGGGGGAUCUUCGGACCUCGCGCGGACGGAGCGGCCGAUGGCAGAUUAGGUAGUUGGUGGGAUAAAAGCUUACCAAGCCGACGAUCUGUAGCUGGUCUGAGAGGAUGAUCAGCCACACUGGGACUGAGACACGGCCCAGACUCCUACGGGAGGCAGCAGUGGGGAAUUUUGGACAAUGGGCGCAAGCCUGAUCCAGCCAUGCCGCGUGCAGGAUGAAGGCCUUCGGGUUGUAAACUGCUUCUGUACGGAACGAAAAGGUGCCUUCUAAUAAAGGGCGCUCAUGACGGUACCGUAAGAAUAAGCACCGGCUAACUACGUG